GUCCCUGUAGCACAAUGGCUGUCGCUUUGGACUUUUAAUCCAAAUGAUCGUGGGUUCGAAUUCCACCUAGGAUG